GAUGAAGAACGCAGCGAAAUGCGAUAAGUAAUGUGAAUUGCAGAAUUCAGUGAAUCAUCGAAUGUUUGAACGCACAUUGCGCCCGCCAGUAUUCUGGCGGGCAUGCCUGUUCGAGCGUCAUUUCAACCCUCAAGCCCUGCUUGGUGUUGGGGAUCGGCGUUGCCUCCUCCGUCGUUCGCGGCGGGGUGAGGUCGCCGCCCCCGAAAUGAAUUGGCGGUCUCGUCGCAGCUUUCCUUUGCGUAGUAACAUACCACCUCGCACCCAGGAGCGCGGCGCGGCCACUGCCGUAAAACGCCCAACUUUUUCAAGAGUUGACCUCGAAUCAGGUAGGAAUACCCGCUGAACUUAAGCAUAUCAAUAAGCGGAGGA
rnacentral:misc_RNA from 1 species